GAUAGCAAUUUCCUUUGGACCGGAUCCGCAUGAAAGACUUUAGAUCCGUCUGUAGCGGACAUACGGUAUCUGACUGUGGGGCAGAUCUGCACCUGAUAAGAUUUCAGCUCUGCUAGCAAAGCUGUUUUUUCAUCGAUUUACAGAUUUGUCCCAGGUCCGUUUUCCGCAACUCAACCGGAAGUCAGGAGAUGCGUUUAAAAUACAAAACACUAAUUUGGCCCAAACCUGUGAUACGGAUAUGGGCAGAAGGAGCAGGUGGUAGGCUAUAAAUUGAACAGAGAAGUCAACUAGCCGGCUGCUGUAGAAUAAAAGUAUUUUGUAAUGGCACAAAUUUAGAAAAUUAGAAAUUUAGAAUUUAGAAGUGGCCAUCAAUUUAGAAAUGAUGGCCACUUCAUUUCUACACUAAGGCUGGAAUUUAAGCUAUUGGCUCAGUAUAUGUGCCAGUUAGACUUUUCAGUGCUGUUUUUCUACAGUCAGCAAAUUUGGGCCAGAUCCACUUACCACAUCCGAACCAAAGCUUCCAGAAAGACAGUUCACUGAUGUGGCCCACAUCUGUAAUAUUGACCAAAACCACCUCCAAACUUGUGUGUUCCACUCUGGUUUACUGAACAGAGCCGAUCGCGCGAAGUGAGUGAGGUCCGUCCGUUUGAGAGACGUCAUGCUGAUCUGGCCCUCAUCCGUACCACGGAUUGUAGCCAGAAACCGUUGGAAUAGAGCAAAUGAAACUUUUGUGGGGGUGCCCAUUGCCAUAUUUCGUUAUUAAAUCCUGAUUUGUUAAAUCUUACAAUGGAACACUUGCACGUAGCCUACACAAAAAUGAUUAAUUCACUAACAAAGUAAUAGGCUUGUCUUAAAAUGGAAGAUUUACCACAUAACUAAAAAAAAAUACAUUAGCAACUGUCCACUAUCCAAGUGCAAUGGUCCAAGCUGUAUUGCCAUCCUGGGAAGAAAAAAAGUUGCGAACAUCGUGGGAAAAAACGGCACUGGCGCACAUAAUGGAUGGCAACAUGGGUACGUAUAUUGAUUUUUUAAUACUAUAUUUCGUUGGCAAUGGUGUGAUUAUGGUGAAUAUAGUGUUAUGGGACUGCAAGUUUCUGCUUUAAGUUUUAGUUUGCCCCAGGGGCGGUUCUAGACCCUUUUAAGUGGGGCUCCAGCCACCCUGCCGUCAUCUUAGCCCCCCUAAAAUUAGUCUUAAUAUUUCUACCAAACUAUCAAAUAUAUUUUUCUGAAGUUUUAUUUAUUUGUAAAAACAAUUUAUUCGAAGAUAAUUAUAAAAAAAACGCAAAAUGCAGGACAUUUAGAAAAAUAUUACGAGUUUAUGAGGCAUUUGAUUAGCUUUGCUGUUCUGCGCAUGCGUCGUAACCGUCAGUGGAGGAGAGCUCGAGCGCCUGUGCUUCAGGUCACACAGAGGGAGCAAUUGUUUCAUAAAAUAUCCAGCGUGGAAGCUCAGAAGGUGCAUUUAUAGUCCAUCAUGACAUAAAAAAUCCUCUGCAUGCAACCACGAGGAGAGGGGGAAUUUACUAAGGAGUUUUGUCUAUAUAUUAUAUAAAAUCUACUGUUGGGAAGAGCAGAACCUAAUCCAAAUAAAAAUAAAAAAGCUGUUAAAAGCCAGUUGAAGGUGGUCAACACAAACCAAAUGAAGAUGUUGCACAUUCCACAAACAAUAAAAAAGAAG